rnacentral:lncRNA from 1 species
AGUAGUAGUGAGCGUUGUCCAAGAGGUGGGUAUCAGGGCUGGCGUGCUAGUGAAUGCUGGUUCUCUGUUUUUGCAAGUGAUGAUGAACCUGUUUGAGCUAAUUCCAUUUGAGAAAGUUCCAGUUACUGGCCUGGUCGUGUCGUCCUUUCAAUGUUAAAAACUGCAGCAAAAGCAUGGGGAUUGUUGCUUCUAGAAACACCCCAGGUCUCUUGUCUGCUCUCUGCAUAUUGUUCAAGUAAAGCAGAUUUAAAAAAAUAAUAAUAAAGAAAACGAAAACCAACUGCUGCUGCUCCUGCUUUCUUUCUACUUCCUUGUGCUUUGCCCCUCCCCUUUUCCAGGUGAUUGGGUUUGGGUGCUGGGCGGGGCCAAAUGGUAUAUCAGCCCCAGGCAUGCCAUCAGAGAGCUCCUUCUGCCUGGGCUGCUCCUUGGGGGUAGAUGCAGCAUUGCCAAGAGACUGAGCAGCGAUGUAUCAGAGUUACCUCUUUCAUCUGCAAAGGGUGCUUUGUGCAGUCGUGGACAGGGAAGGGAUAUCCUCCUGUGAUGGAGCUCUGAGGGAAGGUGUUGUGGAUGAUGGUGGCCGCUCCUUUCAAGCUUGGACCUAAUUUGCAAGUAUAGAGGCAAGUGGAGUGCUGUUUUGAAAGGAUAAAAGUAAAGCUGGGGUCGCUUAUGUUGUUGAGGGAUGGGUGCUACCGCUGGCAGCUGAAUGUUUAUCUUCUGCCUGUGUCUUUCCUUUGUUCAUGUUGAAAUGCAGCGUGCAGUGCGCAGUGCAGGACGUCUCGACCCGAGCUGCCUCUGCAGUGACUCUGAUGCGUGAUAAGCUGAGGUAGCUGUUAUUUUUGGGGUGCGGUUGUUACUGCAGUUAUUUUCCUUCGUUCAAUAGAGUAAAAUUCCAGUUUGCCUUUUAGAAGUGCUGUAAGUGGCUAAUGAGAACAGAUGGAAGCAUCUGCUAUGUGGGGCAGGCAAGCGGCUGAGGUACAGGAGGGGAUGAAAGUAUGUGAUUUUUUUCUGGGGAUGGAAUGGAAUUGAUUUUGUUGGUGUAUAAUCUGUUCUGAUCCUGGAUUUUUCUUUCUAAGUUUAAAAAUAAUAAUAAAAUUUGAGCUAAUACCA